UACGGAGGGUGCAAGCAUUAAUCGGAUUUAUUGGGCGUAAAGCGUGCGCAAGGCGGUUGUGCAAGACAGAUGUGAAAUCCCCGGGCUCAACCUGGGAACUGCAUUUGUGACUGCACGGCUGGAGUGCGGCAGAGGGGGAUGGAAUUCCGCGUGUAGCAGUGAAAUGCGUAGAUAUGCGGAGGAACACCGAUGGCGAAGGCAAUCCCCUGGGCCUGCACUGACGCUCAUGCACGAAAGCGUGGGGAGCAAACAGG
rnacentral:rRNA from 1 species